GAACUUAAGCAUAUCAAUAAGGCGAGGAACAGAAACCAACUGGGAUUCCCCUAGUAGUGGCGAAUGAAGCGGGAAAAGCUCAAGUUUGAAAUCCGGCGGGUGACUUCCGGAGUUGUAAGCUGAUGAGGUAUCGACCGACGUGGUCCGGGCCCAAUUUCCUUGGAACAGGAGGUCAUGGAGGGUGAGAACCCCGUCCGUGGCUCGGGUGCCAUCGUCCUUGUGUCGUGUCCUCUAAGAGUCGGGUUGUUUGGGAAUGCAGCUCAAAAUGGGUGGUAAACUUCAUCUAAAGCUAAAUACUGGCGAGAGACCGAUAGCAAACAAGUAGAGUGAUCGAAAGAUGAAAAGUACUUUGAAAAGAGAGUGAAACAGUACGUGAAAUUGUUGAAAGGGAAGCGUUUGGCAUCAGCCCUUGGCGUCCGUCGAACAUCCAGGCUUCUGCCUGGUGCACUCGUCGGCCGUCGGGCCAGCGUCGGCUCUGCCUGUCGGAGAAAGGUCCGAGGGAUGUGGCUCACCUUCGAGCGUUAUAACCUCGGGCGUCAUGCGAUAUGGUGGGGCCGAGGUCUGCGGACUCUGUCCUAGGACGCUGGCGUAAUGGUUCCAAGCGACCCGUCUUGAAACACGGACCAAGGAGUCUAACAUCUAUGCGAGUGUUUGGGUGUCAAGCCCGUCCGCGCAAUGAAAGUGAAUGCAGGCGGGAGCCGUAAAAGGUGCACCGCCGACCGGUCCGGGGGUUUACCGAAGGAUCCGAGUAAGAGCAUAGCUGUUGGGACCCGAAA
rnacentral:rRNA from 1 species